rnacentral:rRNA from 1 species
GACGUAGGGGGCCAGCGUUGCUCGGAAUUACUGGGCGUAAAGGGUUCGUAGGCGGCCAACUAAGUCAGACGUGAAAUCCCCAGGCUCAACCUGGGAACUGCGUCUGAUACUGGUUGGCUUGAAUCCGGGAGAGGGAUGCAGAAUUCCAGGUGUAGCGGUGAAAUGCGUAGAUAUCUGGAGGAAUACCGGUGGCGAAGGCGGCAUCCUGGACCGGCAUUGACGCUGAGGCACGAAGGUCAGGGGAGCAAACGGG